CAGACGCAGCUCCCUGUGGCUCUGCAGGAAACUGGGGUCCAGCUGGGGCAUCUGGGAAAAGAGGAGGAGCUGAAAUUGCGGGACAGUCGCGCUUGGCGGCAUCGGCUCCGUGGUCGAACGUUACAGAACGUCAGCGAGUUCAGGCAUCGUCACGGCCCAAUGGCUGCUCUGGCAUAUCCGCAUCAUCCUAUUGGGUGUGCAGGAGAGCAAAGACCGCCCCCUGCUGGACUAACAAAGCCACAUUCAGCAUCAAGCCGGUUUGCCUCUUCUUGUUGUCUUCUUACUACUGACCAAACUAAGGACCAGACAAACAAACUUCUGGAAAAUGCACCAUUCUUCAACUGAUUGCAAAUGCACCGAACACACAACGGACACAGCGACCGCAUAAAGAAAGGAAUCCCUGUCCCUACCAGGGG